rnacentral:rRNA from 1 species
UAACACGUAGGAGGCGAGCGUUAUCCGGAUUCACUGGGCGUAAAGCGCGUGCAGGCGGUUUGGUAAGUUGGGCGUGAAAGCUCCCGGCUCAACUGGGAGAGGUCGUUCAAUACUACCGAACUAGAGAACAGAAGAGGAAGAUGGAAUUCCCGGUGUAGUGGUGAAAUGCGUAGAUAUCGGGAGGAACACCAGUGGCGAAGGCGAUCUUCUGGUUUGUUUCUGACGCUCAGACGCGACAGCUAGGGUAGUAAACG